rnacentral:rRNA from 1 species
UACGGAGGUGGCGAGCGUUACUCGGAUUUACUGGGUGUAAAGGGUAUGUAGGUGGCUGAGUAAGUCGAAUGUGAAAUCCCACAGCUUAACUGUGGAACUGCAUUCGAAACUACUCGGCUUGAGUACAGGAGAGGAGAAUGGAAUUCCCGGUGUAACAGUGAAAUGUGUAGAGAUCGGGAGGAACACCAGUGGCGAAAGCGAUUCUCUGGCCUGAAACUGACACUGAAAUACGAAAGCUUGGGGAG